rnacentral:rRNA from 1 species
GAUGAACGCUGGCGGCGUGCCUAAGACAUGCAAGUCGAGCGAACAGACGAGGAGCUUGCUCCUCUGACGUUAGCGGCGGACGGGUGAGUAACACGUGGAUAACCUACCUAUAAGACUGGGAUAACUUCGGGAAACCGGAGCUAAUACCGGAUAAUAUAUUGAACCGCAUGGUUCAAUAGUGAAAGACGGUUUUGCUGUCACUUAUAGAUGGAUCCGCGCCGCAUUAGCUAGUUGGUAAGGUAACGGCUUACCAAGGCAACGAUGCGUAGCCGACCUGAGAGGGUGAUCGGCCACACUGGAACUGAGACACGGUCCAGACUCCUACGGGAGGCAGCAGUAGGGAAUCUUCCGCAAUGGGCGAAAGCCUGACGGAGCAACGCCGCGUGAGUGAUGAAGGUCUGCGGAUCGUAAAACUCUGUUAUUAGGGAAGAACAAAUGUGUAAGUAACUAUGCACGUCUUGACGGUACCUAAUCAGAAAGCCACGGCUAACUACGU